GGCUACCAUGCAAGUCGAGGGGCAGCAUGGUCUUAGCUUGCUAAGGCCGAUGGCGACCGGCGCACGGGUGAGUAACACGUAUCCAACCUGCCGUCUACUCUUGGACAGCCUUCUGAAAGGAAGAUUAAUACAAGAUGGCAUCAUGAGUCCGCAUGUUCACAUGAUUAAAGGUAUUCCGGUAGACGAUGGGGAUGCGUUCCAUUAGAUAGUAGGCGGGGUAACGGCCCACCUAGUCUUCGAUGGAUAGGGGUUCUGAGAGGAAGGUCCCCCACAUUGGAACUGAGACACGGUCCAAACUCCUACGGGAGGCAGCAGUGAGGAAUAUUGGUCAAUGGGCGAGAGCCUGAACCAGCCAAGUAGCGUGAAGGAUGACUGCCCUAUGGGUUGUAAACUUCUUUUAUAAAGGAAUAAAGUCGGGUAUGNAUACCCGUUUGCAUGUNCUUUAUGAAUAAGGAUCGGCUAACUCCGUGCCAGCAGCCGCGGUAAUACGGAGGAUCCGAGCGUUAUCCGGAUUUAUUGGGUUUAAAGGGAGCGUAGAUGGAUGUUUAAGUCAGUUGUGAAAGUUUGCGGCUCAACCGUAAAAUUGCAGUUGAUACUGGAUAUCUUGAGUGCAGUUGAGGCAGGCGGAAUUCGUGGUGUAGCGGUGAAAUGCUUAGAUAUCACGAAGAACUCCGAUUGCGAAGGCAGCCUGCUAAGCUGCAACUGACAUUGAGGCUCGAAAGUGUGGGUAUCAAACAGGAUUAGAUACCCUGGUAGUCCACACGGUAAACGAUGAAUACUCGCUGUUUGCGAUAUACGGCAAGCGGCCAAGCGAAAGCGUUAAGUAUUCCACCUGGGGAGUACGCCGGCAACGGUGAAACUCAAAGGAAUUGACGGGGGCCCGCACAAGCGGAGGAACAUGUGGUUUAAUUCGAUGAUACGCGAGGAACCUUACCCGGGCUUAAAUUGCAGAUGAAUUACGGUGAAAGCCGUAAGCCGCAAGGCAUCUGUGAAGGUGCUGCAUGGUUGUCGUCAGCUCGUGCCGUGAGGUGUCGGCUUAAGUGCCAUAACGAGCGCAACCCUUGUUGUCAGUUACUAACAGGUUCCGCUGAGGACUCUGACAAGACUGCCAUCGUAAGAUGUGAGGAAGGUGGGGAUGACGUCAAAUCAGCACGGCCCUUACGUCCGGGGCUACACACGUGUUACAAUGGGGGGUACAGAGGGCCGCUACCACGCGAGUGGAUGCCAAUCCCAAAAACCUCUCUCAGUUCGGACUGGAGUCUGCAACCCGACUCCACGAAGCUGGAUUCGCUAGUAAUCGCGCAUCAGCCACGGCGCGGUGAAUACGUUCCCGGGCCUUGUACACACCGCCCGUCAAGCCAUGGGAGCCGGGGGUACCUGAAAGUGCGUAACCGCGAGAGCGCCCUAGGNAAU
rnacentral:rRNA from 1 species